AUAUUAUAAGCGGAGGAAAAGAAACUAUACAAGGAGUCCCGUGGUAACGGCGAGUGAAGAGGGAAGAGCUCAAAUUUGAAAUCUGGCGGUCUCCGGCCGUCCGAGUUGUAAUCUAGAGAAGUGUGUUGCGCGCUGGUCCGUGUACAAGUCCUCUAGAACAAGGUGUCAUAGAGGGUGAGAAUCCGGUCUUCCACCGAGACUUUCAGUGGUUUGUGAUACACUCUCACGGAGCCGAGUUGUUUGGGAAUGCAGCUCAAAAUGGGUGGUAAAUUCCAUCUAUAGCUAAAUACAGGCGAAAGACUCGAUAGCGCACAAGUUCUGCGAGGGAAAGAUGAAAAGCGCUUUGGAAAGAGAGUUAAACAGUACGUGAAAUUGUUGAAAGGGAAACGCUUGAAGUCAGUCGCGUCAGCGGAAAUUCAGACCUGGCGAUAGCCUUGGUGUACUUUUCGGCUUGGAUGGGCCAGCAUCAGUUUUGGCUACCAGAAAAAGGUGGGAGGAAGGUGGCACCUCCGGGUGUGUUAUAGCCUCUCAUCGUAUGUGGCGGCCGGGACUGAGGAACGCAGCACGCCUUCAAUGGCCGGGGUUCGCCCAGCGUGACGUGCUUAGGAUGCUGGCGUAAUGGCUUUAAACUGA
rnacentral:rRNA from 1 species